UUAUUGGCGGAUUUAAAGGUAGCGGCGGCCAUCGCCAUCUAUCGAAGCGUAUUCCAAUGAAAUUGUAUAUGACGAUGUCAUCAAUGUUCGACAACAUGAUGCUCGUUUGAGGGAAAGCUGUGUCUAAGACUCUUUAAAGAGCAAGUUUAGAGGUUCCCUUACAAUUUCAUUGUUUCUUUCCAACGGUGAAUUAAAACCAAGAUCAAAAUGGCAUUCAGCGUCGAAGUCCAAUCUAGCCAAUCACGGCCACAAGCCCACAACAACACAACCACCAACAACAAAUCAAAUCAAUCACCUUACAUCAACAAGGUCCUACUCCCCAUCUACCAUUAUACUGAAGCGGGGGUCCAAUCCGUUGUCCCAGUGUCCAAGAACAGUGCAAACGAUUACGAUAACCACAAGCUCAGAAAGUCCCGAAAGUAUCAUCUUGAUGAUACAGGAA